rnacentral:rRNA from 1 species
UACGUAGGCAGCGAGCGUUGUUCGGAGUUACUGGGCGUAAAGAGUGCGUAGGCGGUUUUCUAAGUUUGGUGUGAAAUCUCCCGGCUUAACUGGGAGGGUGCGCCGAAGACUGGAAGGCUUGAGUAUGGGAGAGGUAAGCGGAAUUCCCGGUGUAGUGGUGGAAUGCGUAGAUAUCGGGAAGAACACCAGUGGCGAAAGCGGCUCUCUGGGGACCAUCUGACGCUGAGGCGCGAAAGCGUGGGGAGCGAACAGG